rnacentral:misc_RNA from 1 species
UGGAAGUAAAAGUCGUAACAAGGUUUCCGUAGGUGAACCUGCGGAAGGAUCAUUACCGAGUGAGGGCCCUUUGGGUCCAACCUCCCACCCGUGUUUAUUUUACCUUGUUGCUUCGGCGGGCCCGCCUUUACUGGCCGCCGGGGGGCUCACGCCCCCGGGUCCGCGCCCGCCGAAGACACCCUCGAACUCUGUCUGAAGAUUGAAGUCUGAGUGAAAAUAUAAAUUAUUUAAAACUUUCAACAACGGAUCUCUUGGUUCCGGCAUCGAUGAAGAACGCAGCGAAAUGCGAUACGUAAUGUGAAUUGCAAAUUCAGUGAAUCAUCGAGUCUUUGAACGCACAUUGCGCCCCCUGGUAUUCCGGGGGGCAUGCCUGUCCGAGCGUCAUUGCUGCCCUCAAGCCCGGCUUGUGUGUUGGGCCCCGUCCUCCGAUUCCGGGGGACGGGCCCGAAAGGCAGCGGCGGCACCGCGUCCGGUCCUCGAGCGUAUGGGGCUUUGUCACCCGCUCCGUAGGCCCGGCCGGCGCUUGCCGAUCAACCCAAAUUUUUAUCCAGGUUGACCUCGGAUCAGGUAGGGAUACCCGCUGAACUUAAGCAUAUCAAUAAGCGGAGGAA